AUUUAAAUAGCUUAAGAAAAGCAUAACAUUGAAGAUGUUAAAAUGGUUUAUAAACCUUUAAAUA
rnacentral:tRNA from 1 species